UCAGACUCCAAAUAGAAAACCUCCUGAAGGAGCGCAGUGCUAACUUGACACAGUUGGCUCUGGACAGAACGCAGCUCUACGUUGCUGUGACUGUCAUCGACAUCGCCAGUGGAGAACUGCAGGAAGCAGAAGUUUUCAUUCCCAUUGUUUCUCAGAGAUUCUCUGUGGACUUGUCUCGCACACGGUCCUACUUCAUUCCUGGGGUGCCCUUCCACGUCUCGGCUGUGGUUCACCUCCCAGAUGGCUCUCCAGCAGCGAAUGUCCCUGUGGAUGUUCAUGUGACUGGUUCUUCAGCGAAACCCC